GGGACGGGACGGGACCGGUCCCAGGCGCGCACCGCGGGAGCCCCCCCCCCCCCCCCCGCGGCCCCCCCCCCCCGCACCUGCCGUCCCUUAUGCGCGGCGGCCGGUGCAGCGUUGCCGCGGAGGAGCCCUAGGCAAAACUGAGCCUCUGCUGCCGGCCCGGGGGGGCUGCUGGGGCGCCAUGGGGGUGGAAGACCCCCACCUGCCCAGCGGCAAUGUCAGCGCCAACCAGAGCGCCACCGACCCCACGCUCUCACGGGACGUGUGGAUGGUGGGCAUGGGGAUCCUUAUGUCGGUGAUCGUGCUGGCCAUCGUUUUCGGCAACGUGCUGGUCAUUACAGCCAUUGCCCGGUUCCAGCGCCUGCAGACUGUCACCAACUACUUCAUCACCUCGCUGGCCUGUGCUGACCUGGUGAUGGGGCUGGCCGUGGUGCCCUUCGGCGCCAGCCAUAUCAUCAUGGAGAUGUGGAAGUUCGGGAACUUCUGGUGCGAGUUCUGGACCUCCCUGGAUGUGCUCUGCGUCACAGCCAGCAUCGAGACCCUCUGCGUCAUUGCUGUGGACCGGUACUUUGCUAUCACCUCCCCUUUCAAGUACCAGAGUCUGCUGACCAAGAGCAAGGCACGAAUGGUCAUCCUCGUGGUGUGGGUGGUCUCAGCACUCACCUCCUUCUUGCCCAUCCAAAUGCACUGGUACCGGGCAGACCGUGAUGAGGCCAUCCUGUGCUAUGAGAAGGACACAUGUUGUGACUUCUUCACCAACCAAGCCUAUGCCAUUGCCUCCUCCAUCAUCUCCUUCUACCUGCCGCUUGUGGUCAUGGUAUUUGUGUAUGCCAGGGUCUUCCAGGUGGCCAAGAAGCAGUUGCAGAAGAUAGACAGGAGCGAGGGGAGGUUUCACACCCAGAACAAGGAGCAGGAGCAGAAAGGGGGACCUGGGCACCGCCGUUCCUCCAAGUUCUUCCUGAAGGAGCACAAGGCCCUCAAGACCCUGGGCAUCAUCAUGGGCACCUUCACGCUGUGCUGGCUGCCCUUCUUUAUUGUCAACAUUGUGCACGUCAUCCAGGACGACAUCAUACCCAAGUACAUGUACAUCCUCUUGAACUGGCUGGGUUAUGUCAACUCUGCCUUCAACCCUUUGAUCUACUGCCGGAGCCCGGACUUCAGGUAUGCCUUCCAGGAGCUCCUGUGCCUCCGCAGGUCCACCCUUAAGAUGUAUGCAAAUGGCUACUCAAAUAGCAAUGGCAAGAGCGACUACAAUGAGGAGGACAACAGCUACCCCCCGACGUCAGAUAAAACCUGCGAGUUGCUCUGUGAGGAGGGCUCCUUCCCUCAUCCUGAGGACUUUUUGCACUGCAAAGGUACUGUGCCUAGCGGGUAGCUUCGAGACGUGAUGGGCUUUCACUGGUUGUAAAGAGGAGCCCUUCUCUCUAAGGAAAAACCACGCCCCCAGUAAUAAUAAUAAUAAUAACAACGAUAAUAAUAAUAAUAAUGGUGAUAACAACAACGAUCCUUUUCUAGAGCACACCUAAAAUCUAAUGGCUGCAAGGAACCCAAAACUCGGCAAACCUUCUGGAAACAGAGAUCCCUGCGUGUCCAGGAAUGGUUGAGAGCUGAAUGUGCUGACCUCUUUUCCUCAUCAUCCUGAACUCAUGAGGGCUCUGAAGAGAUUGAGUGGGAGCAUGGCCUUGCUUCUCUGAGCCUGGGGAUGCUGUGAGAAGUGAUUGGCAGUGUGGCAAAUGUCUUCGUCCCAACCCAUAGCCCAUCGUGCAUCACCUGAAGGAGAAGCUGAUGAAGGAUAACCUAGGGACCAGGAAAGGCUUUACUAGCCUCAGAGGACACAGAUAGGGGACCGGCACUAGGAGAGGCACUUUGCAGGAGUCACUGCAUAUAAAACCAGCUCUGAAAAGAAACUACAGGAGUCCUGUGAACUGAAGGAGGUGAACGUCCAAAUCACCACAAAAGGUGCAAAGGUGUUUCCCUGGCACAGCAUUCCUGGAAAGCACUUUCAAAAGGGAAGGGGGUAUCAGGACCACGUGGCUGUCUCCAGUGGCUGGUUUGGAAGAGGCACAGCAAGGUCACUGCCUUACGGUCAGGUCAGGAGACCGGCAGGACGUGCUCACAGCUGCCUGUCCAUGCCCUGGCUGGGGGUCCAGACAAAACAGAAGUAUGACCAAGACUGAGAGAGAAGGAGCGUGGAAGAUUGCUUUGAUUUAUUCUGUGCUUGUUCCUCCUUCUUGUGUCUUCUCUUCUCUACCUCUUUUUCUCUCUAGGCCUAUGUGUACUGCAUGUGGAGGUGGAGCCCAGACCCCCACAAACAAGCAGAAGUACUAGCAGAGGGCAAAUCCUGCUCAGUGUGCAACUGUGCUGCCCAGUGCAGUGCCAUAGCUAGAUGGGGCUAACAUUGCACAGUGCAGAUAUAAUGUGGUCUUCGUUUUUUCCUUAUGCCAACAAAUCUACAACCAUAAUGCCUGGACUUCAGACAGGAGAAAGGCUUGAACCUGGCAAACCUUCUACUUGCAAACAACCACAUGCUAGCACAACCAGCCACACCUGGUGGCCAAGUUUUAACACAGAGCAUCCAUCCCUCUCCUGUAGCUGUGGAAAUUACCAUGCUGGCCUGCUGCAUACUCAGAUCCUGCAUCCUGGAUUGUAAAAGACUCAUUAAGCAGAGGAGGAGAUGGAGAGAGUGACAGCGACUCAGGCAGAAAAUAGUAGGAAAACUCAUUCAAAACCAUAGGAAAAUGUGCACCUCUUAAUUGCAGGUGGUGUCCCAGCUGCAGACUGUCAUGCCCACCUGGGCAGCUGCAGGUGUCUGUUCACCAAGCUGCUCCCGGAGGCCUGGGUGAAACCUGCUGGUACUCAGCUGUGCCAGGAGCCCCAUAUCAGACCUUCUCUCUCAGGCUUCCAGCUGCUAACCCCUUCCCUCAUGUGCAAUCAUAUUUAUUUAUUUUCUUGCUGCUCGAUGCAAAGCUGCUAACAGAGCACGCUCCCCACAAACAUCCGCAGCCGAGAGAGGACGGAGAGAGAGAGUGUGCAUUUUGUGUGUUUGUGUGACGGGAGCGGGCAAAGGGGCAGGUGCUUGCCUUGAGCAGGCUGGAUCAGGCAUGCGCAUGGUGGGUGCAUAUGAGGCAGGAGGAAAAGGCUGCAGUUAAACCAGAAAUACUUUCCCCUAGGGUGAGUGUGCAGUUUUGAUCUUGUAAGAAUUAAGAACAAUCUGGGCAAACCUUUUUUGGGAAGGACAGCAGGACAGCUGUAGGCUGCAUAAGCUCUGCAGCGUCCCUCUAGCCAGAUUUUCUUGGUGCAACUGUGCUUAUGCAGGGUAUGUGUCUCUGUGCAAGUUGCUUGCCCAGAUAGUGUCCUCCCAGCGCUGAAGCAAAUGAAGAAAUGCAGUGCAUGAGAAAAAAGAAAUAAGAAACGCGUAAUGAAGCGUAAAUGAAAUGUGUAAUGAACUUACUAUGUGUACAUCCUGGCUUUGGACAUUCAUAGGCGGCUGUAUCCCCAGCCAGGCAAGUUCCCACUAGUGCGCUCACAGAGGUUUAAUACCUGGCAGCAUUUUCUGCUCUGUCCAAAAGAUAUAUCUGUGUACCAGCCCAUUUAACACAGCCAAUUGAGACCAGCAGACACGAGCAUCUCUAGACAAUGUGGUAGCUGUGCUGUUCAUGCUCAGCUUUGGCUGUUCCUACCCAUUUUGCUAAAACACUGGCACACCAGCAGCAUCCACUCAUGGUGAGGUAUCACAUUUUAUGGAAAGCUUGUGUGUCCCAGUGCAGAGGGGAGCUGUUUCUCUGGGAGAGGGAGGCACUCUUGUGCCCUGCUGCACUCCCAUGCUCAGGAGGGAGCCAGGGUGCCCGGGCAUCCAUUGGCAGGGCUCUUGGCUGCCCCAGGGAAACCUGGCUUCUCCCAUACCCUUCCCUCUGCAAUGCCCCACCAAGGCUUUGUCCAAACCCAUGUGGCUGCUAAAGGGAAAUAUUUCCCAACCAAAACCUGAUCCUCAGAAGAUUCCUGGCUGGCUCUAGUUAUAUUAUGUACUGAAAACACUGCCUGUGGGAUUAGUUUUCAGGUUAGAGACACGUAUGGGAUUGUUGUAGUUCUUUUUCUCGCAAAUCCUCUCAUGUGCAAAAGCAGGUUGCAGUAAAUUAAAUGGAUACACUUGUUCGGAUAAUAUGCCAGCAUGGCCCAAGAGCAGUGACCUGCUUAUUGCUGAUUGCUUCCUUGCAGAGUUGUACGAGUUGGAGAUAGAAGAGAUGUAUUACCAAUCCACCUGCCUAUGACCCUUCAGGCUUGUUCCGUGUAUUACAUUUCUUGGUGGUGUGCUGGGUCUAUUUUAAAAUGCCCUGACAUGAAGGGUUUUGUGCUGUCCUUUGGAAGAUUGCUCUGUAGUCCAAGUCAGGAGUGCUCUGUAGUCCAAGUCAGGAGCUGCUAUUGAUAUUCCACCUGCACUUCCUCCUGAAAACUUCAUUCCGUUAUUCCUAAUGAUGCUCUUCAAAUACCUGUUGCUCAUUAUGUCCUGGUCAGGAUCUACCACUUGACCUGCACUCCUCUUUCCUUCUCUAAGAACUUCUCUGGCUCCCUGAUUGCUGCUGCUCCCUGUCCUUCCUGUAGUUCGGCACAGAAUGAGCCUGUUAAUUCAACCAUGCGGAGUUUGUCAGGGAUCCAUACCCACUAGUGGAGCAGCUGGAACCUCUGGCAAUGCCCAGUCUUCCCAGCAGCUAUGGAGCUGCUGUCCCCUCAUUGUAAAGCACAUGGGGCACAGGAAAGGGGCAGACACAGAUACGUGUCCGAAAGCACAUCAGCCUUGGCAGUGAGAAUAUACUGCGAGGAGUGAACACCUGCUAGGGACAGUACACACCAAAACUUCCAUCUCAGCAAAGCCCAAACUGAGCAAUGGAGGUGGGUGAUGCUCCAAUAUUGCCUGUGCAGCUGUACCUGGGAUUGGUCAGGGGCAGAGGUCCAUGCUGCGUCAGGGAGCUGUGGUCUGUCCUGCCUGGAAAUCGUAUUUGUGAGCUGGAGCCGCAGCUCCACAUGGAGGGAUCCCUGCACACCACGAGCAGCACGGGGCCUCAGCAGGCUCAGUGCAUGUAGAACGCUUGCUUGGGGGGCCUUUGUACAGCACUUGGCUGGAGCACCGUUGUGAUUGUAAGAGCUCUGUUAUUCUCACUGAACAAAUUGUUCCUACAAAUAAAGAAUGAAAAGUC